rnacentral:rRNA from 1 species
UUGAAAGGGAAACGAUUGAAGUCAGUCGUACCGGUGGGUAAUCAGCCUUUCGGCGUGAUUAUGUGGAGCGUGAGGAGUUAAACGCCCUCAUGCCUGCAUAUUCGUGUUCUUUGGGUGUACUUACCCGCAUGGUAGGUUAACAUCAAUUUCGAACGUCAUAAAAUGGUUGGAGGAAUGUAGCUUCGAUCUCGUAUUGAAGUGUUAUAGCCUUCGGCAGAUGUGACGAUCGGGAUUGAGGAUUGCAACGGAUACCCUUCGGGGCUACCCGUCUGAUCUCUGAAAGUUGCUUUGGUGCCGAAAGCUCGCUUACGGUCAACAAAGUUAACGUUUAACAGGUUGGAACGGGAUAAAUUCGUUAAGGAUGUUGACGUA